rnacentral:rRNA from 1 species
AUUGAACGCUGGCGGCAGGCCUAAUACAUGCAAGUCGAACGGUAACAUAAGAAAAGCUUGCUUUUCUUGAUGACGAGUGGCGGACGGGUGAGUAAGAUUUGGGAAACUACCUGAUAGAGGGGGACAACAGUUGGAAACGACUGCUAAUACCGCAUACAGCCUCAGGGUGAAAGAAGCGAUUCGCUAUCAGAUGUGCCCAAACGGGAUUAGCUAGUAGGUGAGGUAAAGGCUCACCUAGGCGACGAUCUCUAGCUGGUCUGAGAGGAUGAUCAGCCACAUUGGGACUGAGACACGGCCCAGACUCCUACGGGAGGCAGCAGUAGGGAAUAUUUCACAAUGGAGGAAACUCUGAUGCAGCCAUGCCGCGUGUGUGAAGAAGGCCUUCGGGUUGUAAAGCACUUUCGGAGGGGAGGAAAAAAAUGACGUUACCCUCAGAAGAAGCACCGGCUAACUCCGUGCCAGCAGCCGCCGUAA